AACUGAUACUACCUGCGGGAACCUGCGGAAGGAUCAUUAUCGAGUUGCAAAACUCCCUAAACCAUUGUGAACCUACCUGUACCGUUCCUUCGGCGGGCGGCGUCAAGCCCUAACCCGGUCCCCUUUACGGGGGAUGGACCCGCCGGAGGCUCCUAAACUCUUAAUUUUAGUUGGCAUCUCUGAGUAAAUCAAAAUAAGUCAAAACUUUUAACAAUGGAUCUCUAGAUCGGAAGAGCACAC
rnacentral:misc_RNA from 1 species